UUUUAGCCCCGAUAGAAGUGAAAAUCCUUUUUUUAUUUUUUUUGACAAAAGCACUUCGACUGUGCUCAGUGUGACAAAAAAUAAAAAAAGAUUGAAACGGAUAGCGGGAAUCAGC
rnacentral:sRNA from 1 species